rnacentral:tRNA from 1 species
GCCCGUGUGGUCUAGGGGUACGAUGCAUCCUUCGGGUGGAUGAGGUCCUGCGUUCGAAUCGCAGCUCGGGCC